UACGUAGGGUGCGAGCGUUGUCCGGAAUUAUUGGGCGUAAAGAGCUCGUAGGCGGUUUGUCACGUCGGCCGUGAAAACUGGAGGCUUAACCUCCAGCUUGCGGUCGAUACGGGCAGACUUGAGUUCGGUAGGGGAGACUGGAAUUCCUGGUGUAGCGGUGGAAUGCGCAGAUAUCAGGAGGAACACCGGUGGCGAAGGCGGGUCUCUGGGCCGAUACUGACGCUGAGGAGCGAAAGCGUGGGGAGCGAAC
rnacentral:rRNA from 1 species